GCUCAUUGCAUGUCUUCUCACUCUGUGUUGCUUGAGCACUCUCAUGGCCUCUUGUGUUCCCCUGCAACAAGCUGUGCCAUAUAGCUGGAUUCUCAAAUCCACCCUGUGUGAUCUGCCUGCUGGAGAGUCUGGAGCCAUGGAACAACAGAUCACCUGAGAAUAAACCCAAGCACCAAUAAAAUUUUGUGUUUACCCUGGAUGUCUUGAAAUACCAUGGCUCUCAGGAAUUACUUUGUUGUUUUAUUUAAAGGAUGAAUAGGAAUUACCUUCUGAAAGACAUACAAGUAUUUCUGUGCAUUUUGGAAUUUGGGGUAAUUUUAAAAAUAAAUCUGAAUAAGAAUUUUGUGCUUUCAAAUGCUGUUUUAAACUUUGGUAUUUUCCUCUCUUCAAUUGGUAGUAGAGGAAGAGAGCUGAGGCUUUUUUAGCUAUCUGUCAUAUUGCCACUUAGUAGUCUGUCAUAAUGCCACUUAGUAGUCUGUAGUUAAGGCUAAAGUAAGCUGCUUUUUAAAAUUGGAAUGGUCUGAAUGACCAGCCAAUAUGGAGUUUUAUUUCUGCAUUUCUGAAUUUGAGAUUUAAUUAUUGUCAAUUGAAGAUAAAUUUAAAAUAGAUUCUUAAAGUCUUGCACCAUCCAUUGUCAUACUACUUUGUUCAAUUACAAGUUCAGUUGUAAGUUCAAAAUAGUAAGCCCUUUAAAAGAAGUUCCUUGUAAGAAGUUCCUUAAGAGAAGCCUUGUAAAAAACUUUGCAUGCUAUAUUGUGAAAUCUUGAGAAAUUAAUAAUUU